AAUGGCGACCGGCGCACGGGUGAGUAACACGUAUCCAACCUGCCGAUGACUCGGGGAUAGCCUUUCGAAAGAAAGAUUAAUACCCGAUGGCAUAGUUCUUCCGCAUGGUAGAACUAUUAAAGAAUUUCGGUCAUCGAUGGGGAUGCGUUCCAUUAGGUUGUUGGCGGGGUAACGGCCCACCAAGCCUUCGAUGGAUAGGGGUUCUGAGAGGAAGGUCCCCCACAUUGGAACUGAGACACGGUCCAA
rnacentral:rRNA from 1 species